rnacentral:rRNA from 1 species
CAGUAGCCGCGGUAAUACGAAGGGGGCUAGCGUUGUUCGGAUUUACUGGGCGUAAAGCGCACGUAGGCGGAUCGAUCAGUCAGAGGUGAAAUCCCAAGGCUCAACCUUGGAACUGCCUUUGAUACUGGGGAUCUCGAGUUCGGGAGAGGUGAGUGGAACUGCGAGUGUAGAGGUGAAAUUCGUAGAUAUUCGCAAGAACACCAGUGGCGAAGGCGGCUCACUGGCCCGAUACUGACGCUGAGGUGCGAAAGCGUGGGGAGCAAACAGGAUUAGAUACCCCGGUAGUCCCUGUCUCUUAUAA